UACAGAGGGGGCAAGCGUUUAUUCGGAAUUAUUGGGCGUAAAGGGCGCGUAGGCGGCCAUUCAAGUGACGGGUGAAAGCCCUCGGCUUAACCUCGAGCUGUCGGCGGAAACCAUCUGGCUAGAGUCCGGAAGAGGAGAAUGGAAUUCCCGGUGUAGCGGUGAAAUGCGCAGAUAUCGGGAAGAACACCCGUGGCGAAGGCGGUUCUCUGGGACGGUACUGACGCUGAGACGCGAAAGCGUGGGGAGCGAACAGG
rnacentral:rRNA from 1 species